rnacentral:lncRNA from 1 species
GGGUGACUUUGCUGAAACCUAAUGGGGAAGCAAGCACUGUUGAAGUGUUAAUACUGUUCCCCUUCCAUCCUAUGCUCAGACUGUAUAACUGUGCAAAUAAAAUUAUAUGUCUUACAGACAUCAUUGACCUUCAUUUCAAGGAAACUGAACCCCGGGUAAGCACUGGAACCCCUGGAAUCUCCUGAGAAAGAUAAAUGCUAACAACAGCAAUUAUGAAAAACAGAACGAUCACAUUGUCGCUGUAUAUGGGCUGUAAUAACAGCCAAUAUUAUGAAGGUGAACUUGUCUGAAGCAUGUUUAUUUAUUUACAAUUUCAAGUCCAAUACAGUAUACAGCAAUUAUUAGGGAUUUAGCUGGUAAUUUGUCAGUAGUUUGAGGUGUGUGUGCAACAUUAAAAAAAGGAAAUCUACUCAUUUAAAUUAAGGGGGGGAAUCAGUGGAAUUCUUAAUGCCACUAAUGCCAAGGAAGCUAAAGGGUUACAUUUUCUAACUGAAAUUCAGACCAGUUAAAGUGUUCAAAGACAAUUUGUCUACUUUUGGCCAAUUAAUGCUCUAUGAUGAGUAAAAGAAUUAGGGACUUCAUUUAUACUUCUUUCUAAUAAAUUAAAACAAAGCAGGGAGGUUAAUUGAAAGAUCUAGGGUUAAUGCAACGUUAAGACUGAAUUGAGCACUAAGCAAUAGGGAAUUCAAACACAAGAUGUUUGCAGUAUGAAGUUAAGACAGCCCACUUUCUGAUUUAUGGUAUUCCCUGUUCCUUUUCUUUCUUUCUUUCUUUCUUUCUUUCUUUCUUUCUUUCUUUCUUUCUUUCUUUCAACAGCUUGCACUCUUCAUUCAAGCAUUAUUACUAUUUAAUAAUCUAUACCAUAAAAUUUAGAUACAGCAGAGAUAGUUAACACCAGUCCUAUCGGACCUGCCUCAAUAUAGAGUUCUUAUAAUGAACUCAUAGAUCAUACCGAAGAGAUUGCCACAUUUAUAGAUGAAGCCCAAUUGUCUUCUGUGGGACCCUGAAGUACUGCUGCAUUCUGGCUACAUUACUAUCAGAAAUUUAAUUUGCAUAAUAAUUUACAUUCAUAAGAACAGUAGGAGAAUGCAUUCAAUAUGUUGCUUGAAAUUUAUUGCACUUAUUUAUUACACAUCUUGUAUAGUUCAAGUCAUUUAGCUUUAUUCCAUAUGUCUUUGGUUGAGAAAAUAUCUCAGCCAGCUUUUUAUGGUUGCAAACCACUGUGGAUUUAUUUCCAGAAUUGCCACUUAGGGAGACAAGAGGCACAAUUCCCCCGCCCUCUGAACACCUGAUUCUAAGUAAUGCCUGUUGUUAUAUAAAAAAAUAUGAGUGGGUGUCUGAUUCUGAUCUGCACAUAAAAGGCAUAAGCCCUUUUUUUGCAUGCACAGGUACAUACUCACAUGUCUUAUCAGCACGGGGCAGUUACUCUGAGGUAUAAAUAAUCGACAAUGAAAAGUCUUCAAAUGCUGUUGUUUUUUUGUAGUGGUGGGAAUCAAGGUAACCUUCAAAGUAUCCAGGAAUAGGCCUUCGUAUUUUUCGUAUAUCUUGCCUUCAUUAGAGCAUAUUUGCCCCCCGAGCAGAAAAACAAAAUGAAGAUUGGCAGGUGUCCUUGGACUAUGAUAUUGCCCACUGCUUGCUUGGAUCAAGAAAUGUACAAGGGGUGUGUGUGUGUGUGUGUGUGUAGAAGCCUCUGACUUUUGCAUGGCUGGAAUGUAACCUACUGUACGUGUCACAUCUAUUGCUCCACCCACUUGUUGUUUUUGGCCACACCUCCUAAUGGUGGGUGGCCCCCUGAAGGCUCCUCAUGUGGCCCUCGGGCUGAAUAAAUUUUCCCACCCCUGCAAUAUACCUUUAACUUUUAUUGUAUGUGGUGGUCUUGCAGUAAGGUUAAAGCUUACUGGGAAAUGAUAUAUAAUGAAUUGAAAAGGAUGUUUAAGAUAACAUUUGUAAAAAACAAAACAAACAAAAAACCCAGAAGCUUUUCUUCUGGGAAUUAUAGGGAUAGAACUCCCUAAACAGUAUAGAAAUUUAUUCAUGUAUGCAACUACAGUGGCAAGAAUAUUAUUUGCCCAAAAAUGGAAAGAAGAAGUCCCAAUGAAAGAAGAAUGGAUACAAAAACUUAUGGACUAUGAAGAAAUGGCGAAACUUACUGGAAAAAUAAGAAAUCUAGAUAGCAAACUUUUUAUAAAAGAAUAGAAAUGGUUUAUUGGAUAUGUACAAAUAAAUUGUAAACAGAUAAGGACACUGGCAGGAUUAUUGUAAUAACCUGCGGUUUCAUAAGAGAAAAUAAUUAAAUAAUUAAAGUAGGUGAAUAAAAGAAGAAGUUAAGUUAAUUUAGAAAAUGCAGGAAAUGAUAAAAAUAAAUUUAAGGAACCACAGAAAGAGGAGGAAGGAAGUUGAGUUUUGAAAUGUUAAAAUGACUGUAAAACUACUGAAAUGUAUAUAACUGAAAAUCAUAUAUUAUUAUUUUUUAAAAAAACAAAACAAAAUACAGAGAGAUGGAAGAGUUGGCACAAUGGUCUAAAUCCAAGAUAGGGGAUCUGUAGCUCCCAUCAUACCUGAAUAUUGGCCAUAUCACAACAACAACUGGAAGGCACUGUUCUAAAUCCUUGUGGGGAUGGCAGUUCUCUAAGGACAAACAUGCCCCCAUAAACUCAUACACAGCAUAUGGCUACCCAAAUCAUAAAUACUGUGAACAAACUAGAAUGGUCUCAAGAGAAUGGCCCAGUUUGUUGCUUAUUUUGGCACAGUUCAGCCAUUUGCAUAUAACUAGAGCAAAGCUGAGGAUUAUUUUGGGCCUGAUUCUUAAGUCUUGCCUCAUAGCCUUGGUGGGGAAAAGCAGCAUGCAAAAGACUACUCUAAAGCAGAAACAUGGGCAUAGCCAGGGGGACAGCUCUCCCCACUAGAUCAAGUAAAACAAUAGAAAUGCUUAACUAACUGACCAAUCGCAUUGGUUCUCCCCCCCAAAAAAAAAAAUCCACCACCCCCUUAACAAAAUCCUGCCCCCCCCAACAAAAAUCCUGGCUACGCCCAUGAACAGAAAUGCCUCUUUUUUUGUGUCCUCACUGGCCAAAAAAGCAUUCUCAAAAGUAAUGUCUCAUUUGAUUUUAAUGCGAAUAAAGAUCUGACAUUUCCUUAUCUAAACACAUUAAGUCUCUGAAGCAGAAGAAUUCUCUCUUGGUAUAAGUGGAAAGGGUGCAGGUAUUUGGAAAUGCGUGAGAUUCAAAAAUGAAUUAUUCAAAGUCGGGAUAGCAAAGAACAGAUAAACCUUCAUGCAGAUAAGGGGGAAAGUAUGACUUUUCACCCUAAACUUAUCAAUAGGCUCCAGGUUGCAUUAAUUAAUUGCUAUUAAAGCUUCCCUAAUCUUUUAAUGUCUUCUACAGAGUUGACGUUGCUCUUUUGGUCAAAUGGAUUUUGAUGCUGCCUUUACAUUGUGGGAAGGGAAAUUUGAAAGGGUAUUAAUGGUUUAUAGAAAAAAUGAUUAUCCUUUCAAGUUGAUUUUUUUCUUUUCCAGAUGUUUACUUUUGAUUACAGUGUCUUCCUCAUAAGUGUUAAGGAGAAGCAGGUACUUCUAUGUGGAAGGAAAAUAGCCCUACUGUUCCAAUUAGUAAAAGAACAGUUAAAAAGUUCCUUCAAUUCACUUUAAGUCUCUUUUUUUCUUUUUUGUAGAAAGUCUCAACCAAGCCUAUGGGAAGCAAAUAUAUGGAUAAUGAAAGUAAAUGGUGUGAAACCUAUUUCUGUACUAGAG